GAGGCACAUGAGAGUGCACCUGCUGAGUCCUGUGCGGAAACAAACAAUCAUCAGCUGGAUUGUUUUACAGAGGCAGCCAACUCUGGAGGAGGAGAGGCUCUCCACCGGAGAGAAGGAAAUGAGUUAAUGGAGGCCACUGGACGGUUCAAGGAUGCUGGGAUUUGGCCUUCCAUCAUCAGCUCAUUCAUGCGUGCUCGGAGUUCCCGGAUAUUCCGUCGUUGAGCCUCAAGUGUCUGCUGCACUGUGUUAAACAUCAUUACAACUGAGUCCUCAUCUCUGUGGGGAGGCGGAGACUUGGAUCCCUGCAGAGCUAUCAGAACUUUCCUCUGGAAAGAGUCCUAGAUGAGCAGGGUAACUUUCCAUAAAACAUCUACAUCCUACACUCACGGCAUCUCCACACUGACGCAGGACAACUCUCUGUCCAUUAAGAUCUGGUGUUGGGCUACAUAAACGAGCUCGGGGUCAUGGCUCCUUCCUCCCUCCCCUGUAAAUUGCUGAUUGAGGGAAUCUGUGGCUACAAUUACUGCAAAGAAAUGUAUAUUCAAGGGUCACCCAAAAUGAAAUUCUCCACCCUGAGUUUUUUCACAGCCAGCCAACCACAUGAAAAUCAGGUUUUCACAUCACUCCAAUCAUUCAGUUUGAGGAGGAUUGAGUGUUGGGGGAAGGACCUGGAGGCUACAGUGAAUCGCAAAUUGAAUAUGAGUCCAGAGUGUGAUGCAGGUGAGAAAAAAGUGAAUUUUCUGGUGUGCACAAACAGGAGUGUCGCACGUAAGAGGUGGGAGGUAAUUGUCCUGCUCUACUGGACACUGGUGAGGCCUUCGCUGGAGAACUGUGCCCAAUUCUGGGAGCCGCACUUUAGGUAAGAUGUGGUCACACAGGAGUGGGUCCAGAGGAGACCAAGAAAAAUGAGAGAGGUUUAGAAAACUGACCUGUGAGGAAAGGUUAAACUCAGGCCAUGUUUAGUUUUGAGAAAAGAAGGGGGGACUUGGGAACAGUCUUUAAAUAUGGUCACAGCUGGUAUAAAGAGGAUGGGGAUCAAUUGUUCUCAUUGGCCACAGAAACCACGGUAAGAAGCAACAGGUUAAAUCUGAAGCCAGAGAGAUUUAGGUUUGACAGCACGAGAAAUUGGGCUCAGCACAGAAAACUCCCCUUCCCUGCAUUUCUACCUGGCUGUCGCCCUGUAGGGCCCUGUCUUCUCCCCAUAUGGCCAACAGGGUCUGAUAAGGAUUGGCAAACCUGUCCCUUGUGCAGCUCUACCAUCAUAUCUCUCUCAGGGAGACAGAAACCCCGUCUGAAGCAGGGAGCUCAGAGCUCGUUCCACAGGCUCCGUCGCCUCCAGGGUGUGUUACCAGAUUUGCCCUUUACUUUGGGGUACGCUCAUUUAUUAGGGUUACUCUUUGUGGGGGGAGGGGUUCUGUAAUUGUAUUAAUGUUCUGCUUGUGUCACUUGUGUUCUCAUACGGAACUCUACUUCUCCAAGCUGCAAGUUCCCUCCCAGUGGAGCUACCCUGCAGGACCUACGUUCCCCGGGGCUCGGUUCUUCCAGCCCCCGAAUCAGAUGAACGCACACACACACACACACACACACACACACAGUGUGUCUAUGAUGACUGAGUUAAUCAGCACUCCCAAGCUGACCCCUUAUAUGUCCCUGGACUCAAUGGGCUAGGCCGAGCAGCGCUUUCAAGCUUCCACCCUCAUAUGCCCCAGGUUCAGCGUGUCCCUAUCCCCAUGUCCACGUUACAAUUGUUCUGGUCGUAACCCACUGGAUGAGGAAACCCCACAGGAUUUUUGGGCUCUGCAGGGGUCUUUAGCUUAGGUAUGAGGAGAGUGGCUGCAGAGCGAAUGGGGAAGCCAAAAACACUCAUGAGAGAGAGUGUGGGGAUUCUCACCUCUCCGUGAAGCUUGAAUCGACCAGGGUUCCCAGGUGAUGGU